rnacentral:lncRNA from 1 species
UAUAAAUUUUUUAUUUUGUUUAGAAAAUUGUUCAUUGAAUUCGCUCCAAUUGACAAUACAUUUGGCAAUACAAUUCCAUUCCUAUAAUAUGCUUGAAAAAACCAAAUAUUCUUUCAGUAUUUUUCAGAACAUCAAGCCGAGGUACACGUCAGUUGGUCAUAAACGGGUAUUCGUUCAUCUGUAGAAGUUACUGUCUCAACCACAUCAAAAAAAUAUGGAAAUGUGCGACGAACGCCGACUGUACGGCCAAAGUUCACACAAUUCAAGAUCAAAUCGUCAUAUUGAAUAACGACCACAAUCACCCCUCUAGUGCGCUAGAGUGGAAGUUUCCCCGUCUACCUAGACAUUUGAGUCGCCCAAACCUAGUGAAUUAACAUUUUUUUAAGAUGUAUAUACUUUACAUCUUCACAGAGGGGUGGUUAUAUCCUCCACAUGGACGACUACACUUACAACAAACGAAACACCACCCGAGAUCGCACUACGUGGUAUUGCACGAAUUAUUACAGCAUUCCACCGUGCAAAGCUAAAGUUAUCACUAUAGGGAAAGACGUCAUCGCUGACGUUGGUAUUCAUAAUCACCCACAAGGAUCUAAUAAAGUAAAUGAAAACGCCGGCAGAUCAGACGAAUAGCCUGGAAUCGAAAUAUCUACACAAAACGAAGGGAACCUCGGAUCUUCAAUACAGCCAAAGGGGGCCAAGUGUUGAUACUGCAAGGACAUCGCUUUCAUCGGGAGUACGGAAGAGUGGGGAGAAGUUACUGGCGCUGUACUAAAAGACUGAUGUAUUCUUGUAAAUGCACCGUAAGGAUCAUUAAUGGGCAAAUAUUCUCUAUGGGCGAGCAUAGUCAUAAAUAAAUACACUGAAAAUAAAAAUGAAAUUUUAAUUUGUCAACUAAGGCUCCAAAAUAGACUAAUAAUAUCUGGUAAUCUUAAAAAUAAGGAUUUUAGUUCUAUUAUGAGCAUGUACCUAAACCAUUCAGUGAUUAAUAAAUGUUUUCCAAGGGUUAGGCAUUGACAUCUUAUAAUAAAAAGACGCACUAUCAUAUAGAAAAUUUCACUUAAAAAAUGGCCAAUUUUGCUUUGACAGUUUCAGAAUUAUACCUAAAGGCCUUUAAAUAUAGUCCAAUAUUCAAUUAAAUCCCAAAUUCUUAGCAAAUCAACCGUAAGGAUUGAUUUUAAGGUUGAAUUUGCAAAUGCGACUACUUGAAUGAGUGCCAAGAAGUUGUGUUUGGCACUCAUUGACUGGGGACGUUUUUUGGUCGCUGAUUGUGCAUCCACUUUUUAAUAGGAGAUAGAUGGGGUUAGGUUUUAAUUAUGUAAUCAAUGACAUAUUUUUUUUAAAUGUAGUUAGAAUUUGAUUUUUAGCUUAAUUUUUUUUCGAUUGUCAGUGUAAAUACAGUUACAUAGAUCAAUAUUUAGGUAAAGAUUUAAUUGUAAAUAUUUAUUGCUUAAAUGACUUCUGUGUGUCAAGAAUGAAGAUGUUAUUUGUUGUUGCGCCAUUUAUUUCAUGCUAUACUAUGUCUAUUCUUUAAUAUCUUGGGGAUGAUAUAUUCUUUUAAAACUUUUCGGUAUAUUCGGUCAAAAAAUUAAUGUGAUCAAAAUUUUUAUAAAAUUAUAGCAUUCCAAAUAUACAUGUUAAUAUGUUUAUUAUGAAGUUUUAUUUAAACUAAAAGAGCACUUAAUAUAUUUGAAUAU